UCGAGCGCCCGCAAGGGAGCGGCAGACGGGAGAGUAACACGUGGGAACGUACCCUUCGGUUCGGAACAACCCAGGGAAACUUGGGUUAAUACCGGAUACGUCCGUAAGGAGAAAGAUUCAUCGCCGAGGGAUCGGCCCGCGUCUGAUUAGCUUGUUGGUGAGGUAACGGCUCACCAAGGCGACGAUCAGUAGCUGGUCUGAGAGGGCGCACGGCCACACUGGAACUGAAACACGGUCCAG
rnacentral:rRNA from 1 species